CUCCCUCUGUCUCUCACGCUCUCUCAUCUCCCACUCCCUCUCUCUCUUUACAUAUAUUACCUAUUUCUCUCUUCCUUACUCUCCUCCUUGUUCUGUCUUUCUGUCUCUCUUUUACUAUCACUUUCUAUCUACUCUUGCUCUUUCUCAUUGUCUGUCAUUGCACUCUCUCUUUCUCUCUCACCCUCUCUCUUUUUUGCUCUAUCUUUCGCUUUCUUUCUCCUUUCGCUCUCUUUCAGCCUCACUUUCUCUUUCACUAUUAUUCUCUCUCUUCAGGCCCACAGUGCUGUGGAGUGAUGACAGUGUGGUGUGUUAUUUUGAGUCUCUCUCUCUCUCUCUCUCUCUCUCUCUCUCUCUCUCUCUCUCUCUCUCUCUCUCUCUCUCUCUCUCUCUCUCUCUCUCUCUCUCUCUCUCUCUCUCUCAGACAGGGUCGGGUAAAGUGGCAUGUUGUUUUGGACUGUAAGAUAAGAUGAUAGCGAGGCUCAGCCCGGCCCUCAGCCCGGCCCUCAGCCCAGCCCCGCUUCAGCUUCUGUAACCUCUCAUGGCCGCAGAGAGCAGCCAAUCAUGUGAACCUCUAAAAAUAGCCCCACCGUUUUUCCAUCUGAACAUGCAGGACUCUUGUUUUUCAUUAUUACUCGUUACGAACCGUCUCCCUGCUACUCCUCAUGUGCGUCACUCUGAUGAUCCAUGCAAACUACCUCACUUACACUCUCUCUGUUAGAGAGGCUGUCUUACUGGUGCUCAGUAUCAGUGUGGGCCAGUACCAGGAGAGAAUACUGGAUCGGGUCAUUAGCGGAUAAAAAAACGUGUCCUGGGUUGUCCUUUUACCCAAGAUGCACCGGGGCGCUGUCAGUGUGGCUCGGCCGUGUGCACGUGAUGAGGAGAAAGCACUCAUCCUCCGGUCUGUGCAGACAGACAUCCCUUCAUCCGCAGGAACAUGUGUAGCUACAUAUUUGGUCAGCAAGCAGUAUACAAUCACCCAUAUGUCCGGCUGGACACUGAAGGACGACCGACUGCUACCCACUUCAGACCAGCUGCCCAUACCCUGGCUGCCACCACCUGCCUUGGACUAGCUGCCCACCCUACACUGAUGUUCUCAUAGACUCCUAGUUAUUCCUAAUACCAAUAUUACUGCUAUUAACAUUAGUAGUAUAAUCACUUGUAGGUAGUUUUUCCUUGCCACUGUUGCCCCUGGCUUGCUCACCGGGGGGUUUCUGUACAUUCAGUCAUGUUAAAACUUUGUCUUUUCCGAAAUUCUGUAAAGCUGCUUUGUGACAACAUCGGUUGUAAAAAGCGCUAUACAAAUAAAUUUGAUUUGAUUUGAUUUGAUCUGUACGGACGACAUCAACACCACAGUCAAACUCAUCCCAGACUGGACUGACCAUGUCAGGUGUCGCUGCUCUCACGGCUCUUUCAGUGCGAUUUCGGAGAUCAUCCAGUUCUGUGGAACCAACGCUGAACACUCUGAGCUGCUGGAGCUUCACUGCCCAGGAAAAUCAGGCUGCACAGUUGACGGAUUCACUCUGAUAGACGUGGAGACCGCAGAACGCUUUCUGAUCAGGGGUCUCGUCUCCUCUCAGACUGAAGGGAGCCAGUCAGAAACUCUAUAACCCCCUCUUACAGUUGGAGUGUGAUUGGUUCCUCUGCGCCUCAUGGUUGUAAAAAAUAUGCCGCUUUGAAAAUUGGAUGAAUCUUUUUGAAUCACCCUGUAUUUACAGGGCUACAGUGACCAACACCGUAUCAAAUAAUAUCAGUCCUGUGCCUUCCAUUCUUUCCAGGAGACUUUAGUUUUCCAAAGAAAACUCCAAAGUUCAGUCUUAGAAGUUGAUCAUUUUCUGACGUAAUCAAACACAUUCAGUGAUGUUGAGGGAGCAGGAGAAGAUCCCAAGCUUUGAUUUACUGAUAUUGACCUAAAGACUGUCCCUGUGUGCGCUUUCCCUCCCCUCACAGCAACGUCCAAUAUCGACGCAAAGCGGGAAAGCAGGUUAAUUUAUACGCUGGAAUACAUAAACUUGCAGUGACGUCCAAAAGUCUGAGACCACAUUGAAAAACUGAGAUGUUUUGAAUUUAAAC
ensembl:lncRNA